CAGCCGCCGCGGGAAUACGGAGGGUGCAAGCGUUACUCGGAAUCACUGGGCGUAAAGGACGCGUAGGCGGAUUAUCAAGUCUCUUGUGAAAUCUAACGGCUUAACCGUUAAACUGCUUGGGAAACUGAUAAUCUAGAGUAAGGGAGAGGCAGAUGGAAUUCUUGGUGUAGGGGUAAAAUCCGUAGAGAUCAAGAAGAAUACCCAUUGCGAAAGCGAUCUGCUGGAACUUAACUGACGCUAAUGCGUGAAAGCGUGGGGAGCAAACAGGAUUAGAUACCCGCGUAGUCCCUGUCUCUUAUAC
rnacentral:rRNA from 1 species